ACGAACGCUGGCGGCGUGCCUAAUACAUGCAAGUCGAGCGAAUGAUGAAGAAGCUUGCUUCUUCUGAUUUAGCGGCGGACGGGUGAGUAACACGUGGGCAACCUACCUAGUAGAUUGGGAUAACUCCGGGAAACCGGGGCUAAUACCGAAUAAUCCAUUUUGUCACAUGGCAAAAUGCUGAAAGGCGGUUUCGGCUGUCACUACUAGAUGGGCCCGCGGUGCAUUAGCUAGUUGGUGGGGUAAUGGCCUACCAAGGCAACGAUGCAUAGCCG
rnacentral:rRNA from 2 species